rnacentral:misc_RNA from 1 species
GGCUUAAACCAAAGCAGAAUUAACGAUUAAUUAUAGUACAACUCUGGAGUGAACACAGAGCGGGAUUCAUUACCACUACCCAAGAUUUCAGAUCUCAUUAGCAUUUAAAUCUCGAGAAACCCAUUUCACACAAAAAGCCUAAAGCUACAUACAGCUUCUCUAAUAUGGGCUCUCCCCUACAAUGUUCCCAGGGGGAUUAUAGAAACACACGGUUAAGCUAGCUUGCUCCUUUACACAAGAAGCUUGUGCACACCCCAACUCCAGGGACUUCUUCCACACUACCUGAGUGUAAACACCGCACUGGUGAUUUGGUACACAGGAGUUGUCAGUAUGGUUGUAGUAAAUCUUCUCUUCCACCCAGUGAUCAACAACCAUGCGAGGAGUCACAGCCAUUCCACUAGCCCAUAGUUGGUUUCCACCGUAAACGCUGUUGCUGAGGUUUGCAAAUUGACAACCCAUUUUGUUUCUUUGGUACCUGACUAGUCUGCUAGUAGCGUUGGCUAGCAUCUCGCUCCAUUUGAGAGGGCCAACCCCGACUGCGGCUCUUGCCUGGUUGUGUGCUUCUAGGAAGUCUCUGGCUGCGGUUGGCAUGGGGCUGGGGAUGGGGCCUGAUGGCUGUGCUGCACCCUGGAAUAUGGAUAGAGCAAUUAGAAGAGGAAGAAGAAGCAAAGCAGGGUCCAUUUCUUUGACUCUUGAUUUCUGAAAGUGAAACAAAUUAGACUUGUAGUUGACAGGUCAUUCAUUUAUAGGCAGGCUCCAACGUAGAGAAUUAUUGGGUACAUUCAAUUUAGAAAUGGUGACAUAAUGUACUGAAUUAGCAGUAAUAAAACCAUUUAACUUUGGAAUCUGAGCUUAAAGGGCAAUAA